rnacentral:tRNA from 3 species
AUUGGAAAUGCUAUGUAAACUUGUGUUUACCGAGGGUUCGAAUCCCUCUCUUUCCU